GACACCUAGAAACCAUAUCAAGUCCCCACAGAGCCCUGGCCUGGGCCUGACACCAGACACACAGCUCAUGCUCAGUGCACACUGGCGUCGUGAUCAUAGCAGCUUCAGACUUGAGGAUCCUGGGCCCUGACUUUGCUCACCAGGUCCCAGAAUCAGGGCCACUUAGCAAUGCACAUCUGCCCCAAGAUUCAGUCACAUCCACAAGGAAGACCCAUGUCUGUAAUCAGUGAAGCCUCUGGGUGACCUGUGAGCUGCCUGCCCUCCCUGGGCUCUGCCUCCUGCCUGGCCGACCCCUCCCGACCUCCACAGCCUGGAGUGCAUGGGCACAGGCCGCAGGUUCGGGUGGGUACCACCACGAGCUCCCUGAACCCCAGAUUCUCUCACAUUUCAACACCGGUCACAUCCACUGCUGGGCGGUGCCUGUGUCCCCCUCGCCGAGGGCCAUACCCUUCCGCCUCUCACCUCGAUUCCUAGUGCAUGGCGCAGCAGCUUCUCGGUCGGUGUGCCAGGUGGAUGAUGUCUCAGAUGCAGACACUGCAUUUUACCAGGAGAAUUCACUAUCUGCUGAGCGUGGCUGGAAUCACAGGUGCCUUCACGGUGGCUUUAGAGGGACUUUCCUCCCAGAGCUGCAGGGCAGCCACCAACAAGGCCAAGGGGCAGCCAUGCCCAGCACCUACAGCAGAGCCCUGCGGGUUAGCUCCCCAAGGCCAGCAUGGCCCCGUGGAAGGCACACAUGGUGGGUGAGGGCGGAGGGGGCCACCUCACUGAGGAGCCCGCCCACUGGUGACGGCUGUCACCUCCCCUGGGUGGCCCUAUUCCAGGCCCUGCAGAAUGGCCUCUGAGCAGGGUAACUGGAAGCAAGAGGAUGUGGCCAAACCCAGGCCCACCAUGACCUCGAGGGCCCAUGGCAUGGAGCAGGCAUUGAGGGCUCAGGGCCCGGGGAAGCACAGGAUUUGCUCACAGGGAGGUCUUCACCCUCUGCGGUCUGGAGGGUGGAGCUUUGACGCCUGCACUUGCCAAGUUAGUGGCCCAGCUCAGCAAGGCACAACAGGAUGAAGAAGGCCUCCGGUACUGCAGGUGUCACCGGGCACCUUGGCCGGCAGCCCAGACCCAUCCUCCCGUCUGAGACGGAAACCAGGAUCUUCCAUCACCCACACUCCUGACCCUGCUCCCUCUACAGCCCCUCAAGUCCAGGUGAGUGAAGCCGCCUGGGGCAGGGCAGGGGACAGACGGGCCAGGAUGAGAUGAAGCGGCUUCCGAAAUCAGGUUCGACAUCGCACCCACCAGUUUCAUUGCAGGCCUGGCUAAAAGCUGCCCCCUAGAUAUUCCGUCCAAUUAUUUAAAUCCCAGCCUCUCCACUCACUAUAAAGAUUGGACAGGAUUGGACAUUUAUUAGCUAACUGAAUGGCUGUAAUAAGAUAGGAAAUCCAAAGGAGCAGAAAAUUAAAUGUUCCUGAGUUAUCUUAUUGAAAUUUCCCUUCCAUGGCUUUUAUUGGAGGCGACAGUGCCAGAAUUUCAAAGACGCAUUUUAAGAGACUCCUUUAUGGGGUUCCCCAGCAAACGCUGAAGCCAUCAACGUGAAACCAGCCAGUGAGUGUCGGGAUGGACGGCCCGGGGCCGGGCAGAAACUCCAGCUCAGCUGUGUGGCUCUGCAGGCAGCAGAUCGGCCCCCACUGCACCGUCUCCAGAGAACCAGAGCAAACGCCCAUGUGCCCCGUUGACAGUACCGCGGAUGAAGACACUGCAUUGUACCAGGAGAGUUCACUGUUUUAUUCAUUGAAUUUUGAUUACGUGUUAUCCUAAGGAGAUACACUGAUUUCAUAAGCAAGGCAGGAAGAAUAAACCGCAGGAGGAAGCUGCUGUCAUUUCUCAGGCCCGGCUUCGUUUCAGGAAACAAGGGUUCUGCUCAAGCACAAGCACCGUUCCUGAAGUAGAUGCAUGGAAGUCAUUAGGGGAGAUGUCUGCAGCCCCUGAGAUGGAAGAAGCCUGUCGGGAGCGGCCGCCGGGCUGAGGAGGGGCCUGGCCGCAGGCUGUGGGACUGUUUGAGGCCCUAUGCAAAGGCAAUGCUCCCCCUUGGAACAGGGCUUCUCGUGGGUGGGCGGGUGGUCCCUGCCAGGCUCCUGCGCCCCCCACCCACCCUUUCCAGGAAACUUGGCCCUAUCCGUCAUGA
rnacentral:lncRNA from 1 species